GGCUCAUUGGUCAAGUGGUCAAGAUGUGGCAUUCUCAGUGCUGAGACAGGGGUUCGACUCCCCUAUGAGCUGC
rnacentral:tRNA from 1 species